rnacentral:rRNA from 2 species
UCNAGCGGAGAUAUCAGGAGUAGCAAUACGAAUUUUAUCUUACCGGCGGACGGGUGAGUAACACGUGAGUAACCUGCCUUAUACUGGGGAAUAACACCGUGAAAACGGUGCUAAUACCGCAUAACGUUGUCUUAUGGCAUCAUAGGACAACCAAAGGAGCAAUCCGGUAAAAGAUGGACUCGCGUCCGAUUAGCUAGUUGGCGGGGUAACGGCCCACCAAGGCGACGAUCGGUAGCCGAACUGAGAGGUUGAUCGGCCACAUUGGGACUGAGACACGGCCCAGACUCCUACGGGAGGCAGCAGUGGGGAAUAUUGGGCAAUGGGCGGAAGCCUGACCCAGCAACGCCGCGUGAAGGAAGAAGGCCUUCGGGUUGUAAACUUCUUUGACCAGGGACGAAAAAAAUGACGGUACCUGGAAAACAAGCCACGGCUAACUACGUGCCAGCAGCCGCGGUAAUACGUAGGUGGCAAGCGUUAUCCGGAUUUACUGGGUGUAAAGGGCGUGUAGGCGGUUUUGUAAGUCGGAUGUGAAAUUCCCAGGCUUAACCUGGGAGCUGCAUCCGAAACUACAGAACUUGAGUACUGGAGAGGAUAGUGGAAUUCCUAGUGUAGCGGUAAAAUGCGUAGAUAUUAGGAGGAACAUCAGUGGCGAAGGCGACUAUCUGGACAGUAACUGACGCUGAGGCGCG